rnacentral:rRNA from 1 species
GAUGAACGCUGGCGGCGUGCCUAAUACAUGCAAGUCGAGCGAACAGACGAGGAGCUUGCUCCUCUGACGUUAGCGGCGGUCGGGUGAUUAACACGUGGAUAACCUACCUAUAAGACUGGGAUAACUUCGGGAAACCGGAGCUACUACCGGAUAAUAUAUUGAACCGCAUGGUUCAAUAGUGAAAGACGGUUUUGCUGUCACUUAUAGAUGGAUCCGCGCCGCAUUAGCUAGUUGGCAAGGUAACGGCUUACCAAGGCAACGAUGCGGAGCCGACCUGAGAGGGUGAACGGCCACACUGGAACAGAGACACGGGCCAGACUCCUACGGGAGGCAACAGUAGGGAAUCUUCCGCAAUGGGCGAAAGCUUGACGGAGCAACGCCGCGUGAGUGAUGAAGGUCUACGGAUCGUAAAACUCUGUUAUUAGGGAAGAACAAAUGUGUAAGUAACUAUGCACGUCUUGACGGUACCUAAUCAGAAAGCCACGGCUAACUACGUG